GUUCUUGUAGUUGAAUACAACAAUGGUGUUUCAAACCAUAAGUUUCGGUUAAAAUCCGGGCAGGAAUU
rnacentral:tRNA from 1 species